UACCGGCGGCUCGAGUGGUGGCCACUAUUACUGGGCUUAAAGCGUUCGUAGCUGGGUCGUUAAGUCUCUUGGGAAAUCUACCGGCUUAACCGAUAGGCGUCCAAGGGAUACUGGCGAUCUAGGGACCGGGAGAGGUGAGGGGUACUUCAGGGGUAGGAGUGAAAUCCUGUAAUCCUUGGGGGACCACCUGUGGCGAAGGCGCCUCACCAGAACGGCUCCGACAGUGAGGGACGAAAGCUGGGGGAGCAAA
rnacentral:rRNA from 1 species